AAAAAAAAUUAGGUUGUUAAUAAUAAAUUUUGAUGAGUGUGAUCAUGGCUCGAGAUUAACGCUAAUCAGACGCCUAACACAUGCAAGUUUUAUAUAAAUUAAUUUAAAUUUAAUUAAUUUAUAUAGCGUCAUGGUGAGUAAUAUAUGUUUUAUUACCUAUAAGUAUAUUUAAAAAAUAUAUAUAAAAUAGAUAAAAUGCUA
rnacentral:rRNA from 1 species